rnacentral:rRNA from 1 species
UACGUAGGGUGCAGGCGUUAAUCGGAAUUACUGGGCGUAAAGCGUGCGUAGGCGGUUUGUUAAGACAGGUGUGAAAUCCCCGGGCUUAACCUGGGAACUGCGCUUGUUACUGGCAGACUGGAGUGUGGCAGAGGGGGGUGGAAUUCCAGGUGUAGCAGUGAAAUGCGUAGAUAUCUGGAGGAACACCGAUGGCGAAGGCAGCCCCCUGGGCUAACACUGACGCUGAGGCGCGAAAGCGUGGGGAGCAAACAGG